rnacentral:tRNA from 8 species
GCCCCCGUAGCUCAGCUGGAUAGAGCGUUCCCCUCCUAAGGGAAAGGUCGUGCGUUCGAAUCGCGCCGGGGGCGCCA